AUGUUUCAGUCCCAAAACAAUGCUUUACACAUGGUAUUCUCACCCACCCAGUUGUUAUGCAGUCAUAAAGAGAUGGAGGCUGGAGACCUGGGGUGCUUUAGAGGGUGGUCCAAGAGCACCUGCCUGGACUGCCCUCCCCACAGCUGGCAGUGGGGGUGGGUUCAAAAGGAGGUCCAGAGCCAGUGCCUCUUACACACGGUAUUCUCACCCACCCAGUUGUUAUGCAGUCAUAAAGAGAUGGAGGCUGGAGACCUGGGGUGCUUUAGAGGGUGGUCCAAGGGCACCUGCCUGGACUGCCCUCCCCACAGCUGGCAGUGGGGGUGGGUUCAAAAGGAGGUCCAGAGCCAGUGCCUUGUGGUUUUACCUCUCAUGGUGGUUCUGGGGCAGCACCCCAGCACAUCUGUGUUAAGGCCUGGGAAUCCAGUUCUGUGUCUUUCAACAAAAUACCCAGGAGAGUCCAUGGAAAUGGACUUCUGCAAGUGUAGGACACACACGUCUCUGCCUGUGAUUUCAGGUGCAAAAGGCAUUGUGCUUUUGCUCUACAAAGGCUUCUCUGAAGUUCCCAAUGACAUUUAG
rnacentral:lncRNA from 1 species